rnacentral:snRNA from 1 species
GCAGUAAAAGUGCAUAUACGUAAAUUGGAACGACACAGCUAAGAUUGGAAUGGCCUCUGCUCAAGGAUGACGCGGAAAAUAGGGAGUUUUGUCAUUUUAUU